UGUGAGCCCCAUGUGGGACAGGGACUGCGUCCAACCCGAUUUGCUUGUAUCCACUCCAGCGCUGAGCACAGUGCGUGGCAAAUAGUAAGCGCUUAAUAAAUACCACAGUUAUUAUUAUUCCACGUUACAGGGACUCUAGACUGGAAGCUUGUUGUGGGCAGGGAAUGUGUCUGUUAGUUUGUACUCUCCCAAACGCUUAGUCCAGUGCUCUGCACACUGGAAGUGCUCAAUAAAUGCGAUUGACUGACUGGGGGCUGAGGGGAGGGGGCGACCCCCCCGGCCUGCGCCUUAAUAGUAGCGGGGGUGGGAUCCGGCUGGAAGUUGUGCGUUCUAAGAAUAGAAAUGUGCGGAAGAUGCUGCGUUUGGCUCCUCCAAUGAUGCCCCGGCUGCAAGUAAACAAACCGGCCUCUUCCUCCUCCUCCUUCCCUUCCCCUUUCUCCUCCUCCUGCGCAUCGAGCCGCAUCAGCCAUCAUGGUGGUGGAACCCGAAGGGGAGGCGUGGACGGGGUGGGUUUCGGGCCCCCCCUCCCCCUCGGGUCCCCCCACAACUUUCGGGGUUUGGGGGGGGGCGAGACGCCUUGGGGAGGAAGACGGCUUCGGGAUGGCGGGAGAUCACCCCACUGGAUGCCCGCCACAUGUCGGAAAGUCAAGGAGCAUCCCCGUUACCAUCAUCAUCAUCAUCAUCAUCACCAUCAUCAUCAUCACCACCGUCCUCAUCAGAAAAAGCUGAUUCACCGGGCUUUUAGGGUUCGCCGAAAGUGCACCGGAUUAGUAACCGAUCAGGUGUCUGAAUUUCCUCAUAAACGACCAGCGUGUACAGCUGGGUGUCCCUGAUCUGAUAGUCAAGUCUCCCCUCCUUUUCCUUCCCCACCCUCCCCCAACUCUAAGGUGGUCAGAGUUUGCACUUGACAACUCCCGGAGUCCCAGAUCAUCAAUCAGAUCCUAAUUUGGGGAGCCAUUGGGCCGUCGAAAUGAUACCGUUCUUCAGGAGGGAACACGUUUAGAAACGUCGUAGAAUGUGUCCGUUCAUUCCUAGCCCUUGAGCGCUUACUGUGUGCGCAGCACUGUACUGAGAGCCUUAAAAUCAUCAAGAAAUGUGAGUGAAUGCCCCCCUCCCCGCAGAAAUAGCAUCGCCAAAGAUUUUCACUGCCCUGUAGCUUUCCGUUUAUCGCAACGUUAGCGGGGUUCUCCUACCCAGCUCUCUUAGGACCACUUUUUUUUAUGAGGAGUUGCCUAGGUGGGAAACGCACCGAAUGCACCGAUUUUGGAAGAGUGUCCCCAAACAGCCGAUGCUCCCUAAUAAAGAUCACUUGUUUUUAAAGAGUCAGUCAUUAAUGUCCUGACCGAAGUUCUUGAAACGUCGAUCAGUUUUCCGCCACUGUGACGGACUCGAGUUUAAAACAGAGACAUUUCUGUAAAAACAGAUACCUUUCAAACAGUAAACAGGACAAGUUCCCCAAAGUGUUGUGAUUUAGCGUGGAGUGUUUUUACUGUACUCGCCUACUGCAGUGGUACCUGAGCAAAGAGUGCGUGUCCCUUGAUUUUGGGAAGUUAACCGAGAAGACUGCUCGACUGUCUCUCUUCCUGACCCCGAUAUCUAAUUGGAUUGAGUUUCUAAUUAUAAUUUGAAAGUAUGUAGUCAUUGGUAGAUGGAGACAAACAUUAGCAUUUAGUUGGUGUAGUGGAAAGUGGCCUUUUAAUCAAGUUCUGGUUCAGAACUGCCCACGUUUUCAAUGUGAGUUGGCAUAUUUUCUUGAAGCUUUAGGUCCUUUUUAAAGUAUUACGGAAAGGGAUUUUGUUUUGUCCAAUUAGUUACGCUCGAAGCAUUUAGUUUUUCUUGAGUGGUUUUUAUCAGAGCCCCGAUAUCCUGAAUUCAAAUUUUCAUUUGGGCAUUAUCAUCGGUUCCGGGUUUCUGGCACUUUCAAGUAUUUGGUCUCUGUGCGUUUCGGUUACGAUUGGAAUGGGACUGAUGGAAUAAUAGGAAUAAAAAUCAUCGUAACAAAAUUUGUUUGGGAAAUAACGCAAAUUCUAAAUUUCAGCGUGCUGCAGUUAAGGUUGACUGCCGAACCCUCCUCCCCACCCCAAGUUCCCCAAUAAUUACAACUUGCCGGGGAAGAAGUGACUUUUGCUUUUCUUAACACCUCAUUAACUGAAUGAAAUUGUCAACACUGAAUGAGCUUCCUUAAAAUGAGGAACUUCCUCUGCAGAUUGAAAUGAGCAGACUUCUCAAGUUCUGUAGGCACGUUGCGUGCAGCAAGUAGAUAGCAAUAUUUCUCUUUGGGUUUCACCCUUUAAAUUUUAAUUGCAUAUAUUCUUGGUUUAGAUAAAAUCUCGUCAUUUUGUCCCAGUUCUUCCACCGAUUCCUGUUAGACCGAUUUAGUGGGUACUCCGUGUCUGCUGAGGCGAAACUAGAGAAGUGGCCAAACGAUUUCGCUGCGAAGUACGAGAAUGAAGUCUAAGAGCAGCAGAUGCUUUUUUAUUUUACCUAAACUAAAUGGGCAAUCUAUAUGGUUUCUUUUUUUUGGAAGGCAGAAUCUUUGUAACUUCAAAUAUCUGAAUUAGACUCUGAGGUUUAAUAAAAUUGUUCAGAAUUGAUUUUCCUUGACUAAGGGUCGUAGAGACCAUUGACAUUCCACAUUUGAAGUGUAGCUGCAAAAUGUAGAUUUUUGAAAAGUAAACACAAGAUUUAUGUACCGAAGUGCUGUUUUUUCUUCUAGAUUCAUCUGGAGGCAUAUAUGAUAUGUAGUCACACGUCACCUCUUAACAGAAAUAUUCCAUUUUAUUUCAUUGUGGGUUGGAUCAAGUUUGCAGUGAAGAGAAAAACAGAUUACUCCACUUCCUUGUUUCCUUUAAUUGGGAAAAAUGUGAUCGCUGUAAACAUCCUUUGAAUUGUACUUUUUGUGAUGGUGACACACAUCGAAUUGGUGUUUUCCCUACUUCUCUUUUCUUGUUACUGGAUCCCCAAAUGAAGCUGUGAAAUUAAGGCUAUUUAGGAACUUCUACCAAAGCAGUCUACCCCAAACAAAUAAAAGGAUUCACUUUAUUACGAUUUCAUCGUGUCACCCAGUUGUGUUUUUGCAAUUGAGUUGCAGAUUACGGAUUCGUAAUGUUUCUGAUCGAUGUGGGCCCUGUUGCAGAGCGUGUCUUUAGUGGUCAGUUGCUUUAGCUACGAACCCCUUGCCCGUAGCUACGGAGUGCUCAUCAAGGCACAUUCUCAAAGUCCAUUUUCCUAGGAGGCGUCUCGUUGGGUUCUUUUUUACCUCAGCCCACUCUGUCACAUUUUCAACCGGUUAAUUAGGUACCAAUCCGCCAAACCGUGCCCCAUGUCCAACUGGCUAAGUAUAGAUCGUUCACUUUAAAGUUCAUUCAGAGGGGGAGGGAGGGAGCUCUUCCAGGGAUUUCAACACCACUGUGAU
rnacentral:lncRNA from 1 species